rnacentral:lncRNA from 1 species
AUGGGAUUGACCACUCUAAGAGUUAGAGAAGAAUGAGUCACUGUAUUUCAAUUUAACAAAACUUUGGACAGGAUAAUCCAUCAGAUGGAUUUGAUAUUUUGAAAUACAAUGUGGACAACCUGAUCAGAGUUGACAGUUAAACUCUGAGGUGUCUUAUGAGCAUUUUUGGUCAAGGGGAUGAAUUAUAUGAAAACUAUAUCCACAUGGGUUCUAAGGAUGUUGUUCUACAUAUUCGACCUAUCCGACCAUCGGGUAUCAUUACUAGAUGGUCACUUUGAUUGGUACAGAAAUUUAUUUCUAUGAUAUCGGCUUAGGUUCGAACCUAUGAAAUUAUACACAUUAGAGUUCAUGAUCCGAUCGGAUGGUUGAUCAAUGAUUAAAAAUCGUUCUAGGGUUAAACGAUCAAUAUGAUUGAUAUUUAACCUAGUGCAAAUAUUGCAGGAGGAUCGAUUAGCAAUUUGAUUACUAAUUGGCUUAAUUUGAUUAAGCCAAUGGGAUGAAAUUAAGUUUAAUUGAAUAUGAUAUAAUUAAAUUUAGUUUGAACUUGAUUGGAUCAAGUUCAAUUGGUUUAUUGGAUAAGCCAAGUGUAAGGAAAAACUAGUCCUAGUUCAAUUAGGACAUGGAUCAACCUA